GAGUUUGAUCAUGGCUCAGAGCGAACGCUGGCGGCGUGCCUAACACAUGCAAGUCGUACGAGAAAGCCUUCGGGCGAGUAAAGUGGCGAACGGGUGAGUAACACGUGAGCAACCUGCCUUUGGAUUCGGGAUAACUCCUCGAAAGGGGGGCUAAUACCGGGUAAGACCACGGAGUCGAAUGGCUCAGGGGUAAAAGAUGGCCUCUUCAUGAAAGCUAUCGUCCAUAGAUGGGCUCGCGGUCCAUUAGCUUGUUGGUGGGGUAACGGCUCACCAAGGCGACGAUGGAUAGCCGACCUGAGAGGGUGAUCGGCCACACUGGGACUGAGAUACGGCCCAGACUCCUACGGGAGGCAGCAGUGGGGAAUUUUGCGCAAUGGGGGAAACCCUGACGCAGCGACGCCGCGUGGAGGAUGAAGGCCCUUGGGUUGUAAACUCCUGUCAGGAAGGAUGAACGGCAGGGUAGUUAAUAUCUGCCCUGUUUGACGGUACUUCCAGAGGAAGCUCCGGCUAACUCCGUGCCAGCAGCCGCGGUAAGACGGAGGGAGCAAGCGUUGCUCGGAAUCACUGGGCGUAAAGGGCGUGUAGGCGGGAUGGUCAGUCGGAUGUGAAAGCCCCGGGCUCAACUCGGGAAGUGCAUUCGAUACUGCCGUUCUUGAGUGUGGUAGAGGAGAGCGGAAUUCCUGGUGUAGCGGUGAAAUGCGUAGAUAUCAGGAAGAACACCUGUGGCGAAGGCGGCUCUCUGGACCAAUACUGACGCUGAGGCGCGAAAGCUUGGGGAGCGAACGGGAUUAGAUACCCCGGGUAGUCCUAGCCGUAAACGAUGGGCACUAGGUGCGGGAGGCGUUGACCCCUUCUGUGCCGGAGCUAUCGCAUUAAGUGCCCCGCACUGGGGAGUACGGCCGCAAGGUUAAAACUCAAAGGAAUUGAAGCGGGCCCGCACAAGCGGCGGAGCAUUCGGUAUAAUUGGAUGCAACGAGAAGAACCUUAGCUGAGUUUAAAUUGCUUGGGACCAUUAUGGAAACAUAGUCUCCCUUCUGGGUCCUUGCAAAGGUGCAUCCAUUUCAUCGUCAGCUCAUCACAAAGAGGUUGGGUUAAGUCGCUCAAAGAGCGCAACCCCUGCCCUUAGGUACCAGUGGUUCGACCGGGAAGUCUAAGGUGUCCGUCGUCGAUAAACAGGAGGAAGGUGGGGAACACGUCAAGUCCUCAUGUCCCAUACGUCCAGGGAUACACAGAGGGUCCAAUGGAUCUUACAAAGGGAUGUGAACUCGCGAGAGGGAGCCAAUCCCAAAAAGUGCGCCCCAGUUCGGAUCGGAGUAUGCAACUUGAUUUUGUGAACCCGGAAUCGACACUAAUCGCGGAUCAGCAUGCCCCGGAGAAUACGUUCCCGUGCGAGGUACACUCCACCUGUA
rnacentral:rRNA from 1 species